rnacentral:rRNA from 1 species
GGGUCAGUAGGUUGGUCGUGCCACCGGUACGUACUGGUCCCACUGGUUCCUCCUUCCUGAAGAACCGUAAUGCCAUUAAUUUGGUGUUGCGGGGAAACAGGUCUGUUACUUUGAAAAAAUUAGAGUGUUUAAAGCAAGCUAACGCUUGAAUACAUUAGCAUGGAAUAAUGAAAUAGGACGAUCGAUCCUAUUUUGUUGGUUUCUAGGAUUGACGUA